GACGAACCGAGCGAACGUUGUUCGGAAUCACUGGGCUUAAAGGGCGCGUAGGCGGGCUGCCGCGUCCGGGGUGAAAUCCUCCGGCUCAACCGGGGAAGGGCCUCGGAUACGGGCGGCCUCGGGGGGGGUAGGGGCGUGCGGAACUGUGGGUGGAGCGGUGAAAUGCGUUGAGAUCCACAGGAACUCCGGUGGCGAAGGCGGCAUCCUGGACCGGUAUUGACGCUGAGGCGCGAAAGCCAGGGGAGCAAACGGG
rnacentral:rRNA from 1 species